AGCGCAGGCGGGAGUGUAAGUCGGUCUUAAAAGAUCGGGGCUCAACCCCGGCAGGGGAUCGAAACUAUACUUCUUGAGUGCAGGAGAGGAAAGCGGAAUUCCCAGUGUAGCGGUGAAAUGCGUAGAUAUUGGGAGGAACACCAGUGGCGAAGGCGGCUUUCUGGACUGCAACUGACGCUGAGGCUCGAAAGCCAGGGGAGCGAACG
rnacentral:rRNA from 1 species